rnacentral:rRNA from 1 species
AAAGUCUGACCUGCCCACUGAAAUUAUUUAAAUGGCCGCAGUAUUCUAACUGUGCAAAGGUAGCAUAAUCAUUAGUCUUUUAAUUGAAGGCUGGUAUGAACGGUUGGACGAGGUWMRAGCUGUUUCAUAUAAAUUUAUAAUAGAAUUUUAUAUUUUAGUCAAAAAGCUAAAAUUUAAUUAAAAGACGAGAAGACCCUAUAAAUCUUUAUAUUUUAAGUUGUUUAAAUUUUUUAGAUUAAUUUUAUUUUUAUAAUUUAGAGUAUUUUGUUGGGGUGAUAUUAAAAUUUAAUGAACUUUUAGUUGUUAAAAAUCAUUAAUUUAUGAGUUAUUGAUCCAUUAAUAGUGAUUAUAAGAUUAAGUUACUUUAGGGAUAACAGCGUAAUUUUUUUGGAGAGUUCAUAUCGAUAAAAAAGUUUGCGACCUCGAUGUUGGAUUAAGAUAUAUUUUUAGGUGUAGCCGCUUAAAU